AAGAAAUGUAAACAAAUCUGCCAUUAGGAUUGAAUUAGAUGCGUUGAAUUUAUAAAAUCUUAUACUGUGAAUUAUAAGUGCCAGUAAACUAUCUUGUGCUUAGGAUUGUGGAAUAUUUGCAUCCAACUGUUCAUCUCGGUGAUCGCCUUAUAUCGUAACUGAAAAGAAAAGAAAUCAUAAUUAAUUGCGGCUUGGAAAGUAUCCGAUACAAAAAGAAACCAGGAUCGAGUAGAAAGGUGUGGUGUGCAAGAGUACAAUAAGACCAAUUAUUGUAAGUAGACACUAAAGAUAAAACUGUGAGUUGCUAAUUAAAUAUAAAUUCUAGUUUGAG